GCGCUCGUAGCUCAGUUGGAUAGAGCGUUAGCCUCCGAAGCUAAAGGCCACAGGUUCAAGUCCUGUCGGGCGCACCA
rnacentral:tRNA from 1 species